rnacentral:rRNA from 1 species
UGAUCAUGGCUCAGAUUGAACGCUGGCGGCAGGCCUAACACAUGCAAGUCGAGCGGUAACACAAGGGAGCUUGCUCCUGAGGUGACGAGCGGCGGACGGGUGAGUAAUGCCUAGGGAUCUGCCCAGUCGAGGGGGAUAACAGUUGGAAACGACUGCUAAUACCGCAUACGCCCUACGGGGGAAAGGAGGGGACCUUCGGGCCUUCCGCGAUUGGAUGAACCUAGGUGGGAUUAGCUAGUUGGUGAGGUAAUGGCUCACCAAGGCGACGAUCCCUAGCUGUUCUGAGAGGAUGAUCAGCCACACUGGGACUGAGACACGGCCCAGACUCCUACGGGAGGCAGCAGUGGGGAAUAUUGCACAAUGGGGGAAACCCUGAUGCAGCCAUGCCGCGUGUGUGAAGAAGGCCUUCGGGUUGUAAAGCACUUUCAGUAGGGAGGAAAGGUAAUAGUUUAAUAAACUAUUACUGUGACGUUACCUACAGAAGAAGGACCGGCUAACUCCGUGCC